UGGCUGAAGUCGGAUGCUUAACCGACUGUGCCACCCAGGCGCCCCCAGAGUGUUCUUAUACCAAAGGGACCUUUACCUUUUCAGUAAUAAUUUCAACUGGUUGUUGAAGAAGGUACGUAAAGAGGGAGGUAAAGCUUAUCCGGCAGAGUUGUAUCAGGGGAUGUUAAUAGAUGCAAAGAGAGAAUCAAAGGCAAGAAACAAAAAAGGUGAGCAAAGAACCAAUUUAAAUAUUAAACCUUUUAUGAAAUGGACAUAUGCAAGGUUGUUUCAAUUUAUUUUCCAGACUUUUUUCUGACUUCUCGUCAUGCAAACCACGUGUCUGUCACCUAAACCUGUUCUUACCUGUCCAGCCCUCCUCCCUUGCCUUCUGUGUCCUGCCUCUACUCUUACAUGCACACUCUGCCUGAAAUAAUGCGCCCUUCCCUUCCUGGCUCCCUGGGUCUUACCUCACCAUGGCCAGACCCACUCUGGGCCUAAUGACACCAACUCUUUUAGGGUUCCUGAACCCAACCCUUCAUGAGGGGUGGUCCCGCCCACAACAAGAUCAAGGAAUUCUCAGACAACAGUAGCAUGUCGGAGAAUUCAACUCAAUCCUGACACUCUCUAGCUGGAGAUAGCAUCAGAUUCCAUAGGUUGGGGGUUCAGUUGUAGAAGACUGACCGCUAACCCCCCUUCAGAUACCAGUUGCAAGCCCUGGGCUAUCACCGGUGCUUUUGUCCAACUAGCAACAGAUUGUAGGUUCCAGUGACAUCCUCCUUAAGUUCUUUUAAUUUGCUAGAGAAGCUCACAGAAGUUGGGGAAACACUUAUGUUUACCAGUUUAUUAAAAGAUGUAAUAAAGGAUCUGAAUCAACAGUCAGAUGAAGAAAUGCACUGGGUGAGAUAUGGGGAACUCUGUAGGGUAUAGAAACUCUGUACCCUCUCAAGACACACCACUUUCCCUGUACCUCUACAUAUUCACCAACCCAGAAGCUCUCUGAACCUAGUCUUUUUGGAUUUUUUAUGGAGGCCUCAUUACGUAUUCAUGAUUAAGUCAUUGGCCAUUGGGUGAUUCAGUCUCCACCCUCCCUCCCCUUUAGAGGUCAGGAGGUGGGAAUGAACAUUCCAACUGUGUCAUCACAUGUUUGGUCCUCCUGGCAACCAGCCCCUGCCCUUGGGUGGGGUCCAAAAUUCACCUUCAUUAAUAACAAAACACCCGUGUCACCUUUAUGGUUCUGAAAGUUUUCAGGAACUGAAUAAAGAUCAAAUAUAUGAAUCAUCAUCUGAAUGACCAAAUAUAUUAUUUCUUUUAAAUGACUAUAUUGCAGUCUGGAUCUAAAUUGCCACCAAAUUCAUAAAUCCUAUCAUCUUUCCAGCAAGUGCCAUUUCUUCCUUUCCCUUUGACCCAAAGGGAUAAAGUAUGUUGAGUGAUGCUUCUCACUUUUUACAUGCUCUCUCUCUCCUGCCCUCUCUCCCUUCCUUCCUUUCUUUCUUUCUUUCUUUCUUUCUUUCUUUCUUUCUUUCUUUCUUUCUUUCUUUCUUUCUUUCUUUCUCCCUCCCUCUCUUCUACCUUCCCUCCCCUUCUCUCUCUCCCCAAGUUAAUCUUAAGAUUAGUUUCUUGAUAUUGGUCACUGGUCUCCAGUGAAGUGAAGAUAUACAGAGUAUACAGAAGUUGGAGUCUCUCUAUUUUUUUUAGAGGAAUUUUCACUUGAGAGUAAAAUUUUAAUUGGACGUCUAAACUUCCAGAUAAGCUUUUGUUCACCAUUUGUCAUGAAUUUGCAGGGGGAAGGGAAAAAAAAUCAAUAUUCUACAGUACUUCUUUCAUCCCAAGGCGGUUGAAAGACUUUAGCUGCAAAGUGAAGAGAUCAGAAGAGAAACAGAUUUAUAAAAAAACACCCCCAUCUUAACAAUGUCAUUUGGAAGAACAGAACCUUUCUGAAGCAAUUUCUGAUCUCCUUUCCAAAGGCGAUCACUUUUAAUGGGCGACCACGAAGAUGAGAAAAGGUACAAAGAGAAAAAUACAGAGUGCAGUUUUCCGUUCUCUGCAGUUUUAGGGAAAGAGAUCCCAGCUGUAAAUGUAGACAGUUUGCAAACAUUUAAGCGGGACCUUCUGCCAAAUUUAAAUGCCUUUGCGGAUCAAGACAAACAGCAUCACUCUUUGUUAUAAUUCCAAGCAGCUGGGAGGUAGCAUAGAGCUGAAGUUCCCAAGGCUUGCUUCAAGGGGCCUCUUCCUAGGUGCACAUCAGAUUUCUCUGUAGUACGGUGAUACAGUUUUAUCACUUUGUCACCAAUUGUGGCUUGAUGAAUAUGUUUAAGAAUUUCUCAGUUUCCUGCUGUCUGAAUGCUCUGGCAUAUACCUGAAAUGGUUUUAUUUUGUUCAAUAACUGCUACCAAUUCGCUCGAUCGACAUCUACUUCUUAUUUCUUAAAAAACCACCCCACUUAAAGUUUUUAAGGUCUCAGUGUUAUCAACUUAAAACUUUAGUCUUCUGUUUAAUACACAUUUCUUCAUCUUACCCAUCUUUCCUCGCUCUAAACUUGUGACUCUGGCUCCCUGGGUGUGGAGGGUUCUGGGUCACGAUCUAUUCUCUUACAUACUUUUCUCUCUACCUUUUUGUAGUGACCAAUUUAAUGUUGGGUCAGUGAGGAAGGAGAUGGUGUGAAAAUGUUGCUUUGCAUGUCGGCCCGUGGUGGGGUUGCAUGAGUCUUCUUGGUUGAACAUACCUAUUGACCUAGUUUAUGUUUAAUGGGCUCCUUGAGGAUGGCUGGUGACUCCAUCAGGCCCUCCCGACAAAGGCUUCCCUCCUAUGUGAUUCCUUGUGCACAACUCAGCCCUGUCUUCUUGUUGAUCCCAAGUUGGGGACAUCACGUGAUAUUGCCUUACCCUAUGCCUGCCCAGGUCAUGAUACAGUGUACCUGGCAUUGGUGAUGUUUCCAUCUUUGUGGCCUACUGGCAAGUUGAGAUCUAACUUGCAUGUAUCUCGGGAACAAGAAAAUUCUCAAGUUUUCCUUUCUUGUACCGUCUAUACCCAGUGCUCUUUGCCUGCCUCCAGUGAUCCAGGGACUUCCUGUCAAGCUCAGUGAUAUUGGUGUCCCACUGUGUCAUCUCCUCUCUGCUUGAAGCCUCCCUCCCUUCUCCUUGUUGGGGUGAGGAGAAAGCUUCUCUGAGAAAUCCUCCUUUCUGUCUGAUUUGUGCUCUGUUUCAAACAGCAAGGUAGUAUAGGGAGGCAUGGGCUGGAGGGGACAAAGGUUAAGGUUGGUUCUGCUGAUAUUACCUUUCAACAAACCCUAUGGGAAAGUGGUUAGUUCUUUGGCCUUAGAAUGUCUGACAGGAUGUGCAUCUUCUCUCAAUUACGAGGAAAAAUAGCAUCAUGCUCUUAUGCUAUAGUUACUGCCUUUGACUAAAAAAGAGAAAUAGUGAAAGGGAAAGUGUUGGAAAGAAGUAAUGCAUGUUUUCCUUAUAAUUGGCCGGGAAAUGGUGACAGAAAAUCCAUGGAUUUGGAAUAUCGAGACCUUUAAUAGGAGGGACCAGUCUUAUCCCCGGUGCCCAGGACAGUGCCUGGCACAACUUACUGGGUAAAUGUUGAAAGAAGGUUCCAAGUUGCCAAGGAGUUGGAAGGCAUUGGUGCGAUUCUGAUGUGGAAAAGUCUGAGUUGGAGACAAGUUGCCUUGGAAGAAACAUAUUCCCAGUUUUUCUCCUCUCCUCCUUCUUUUCCAGACCUCCAGUGUUUGUUUCCCUUGCCCUGCCCACAUCUAACUGUGCAGUGGGAAAAUUGGAAUUGUCUUUGAAGUGACCAUGAAUAGUGGUGACUGUCAAUACUGAAUAGCUAUUUUGAAACCUUGGAUUUAGCUCGGUAUGGCAAAGUGAGUGUCAUUAAGGCCCUCACUUCUGGAACAUGAUGGACUUAGGGAUAAGCGCUGAGAGCUAGUGGUUCACGGCUCUACUGAGGAAGGAAAUAAAUGUCAAGCAGCACUUACCUCUCAAACUGGGCAAGAGGGGCCUCUGUCCUGGGCCACACACUUCGGAAGGCCUCAGGUUCAACACACACGGACUGUAUGUAUUUGGUAAAGAAAACACGGUGCCUCUGUUACUCAGGAUUCAGUCCUCAGCAUUGGCAGGUAAACAUCAACCCUCAUGACUACGAAUACUGUUCAGGCCCCAGGGACAUGCUUUCCCACAUCUCUUGCCCAAUAUUCUCAAACAAAGGGUGACUGCAUCUGAAUGCCAUGAGCAUUUGUGGGUUGUGCUAUCAGAAACGGGCGCUGCUUUGGAGUGUGGGGAGGAUUUGAGUAGCAAAAGCACUUAGCUAAGACAAAAGACUAAUUAAAUUGUAAAACCUUUCUCUCAGUGUAAGUGCAGUAGUUUAUUACAUUAGCAAGUAUUAUUUUUCAAUAGUACUGAACAUUCAUUUUCUUGCUUCCCUUCAUGGUUCCGGAGGUACUUGUGAAUUAGGGAGCUCUUUGCUCUUUGCAAUAGUUGCACGUGGCGAAUGAAGCACAUUUUGCAUUAUUAACCAACUACUCAUCUCCAAAUCACAGGUCCAUCAGCGGAACACCCAGAUGUGUGCAAUGACAAUUAAAUUCAGUUGUCUCCAAUGUUUUGCUGACUUCUACUUGUAUGAAAACUGCAACUUCACGUGCACUUAAAAUUUUACAGUUAUGAAGUAUUUCUCAAGUAUUUCAGUGACAGGAUCCACUCAGGAGAGUCGGGGCAAGGCUGGCUGAGGUUCUCAAGGAGCUGAGUUUUGAGUUCAGGUGCCUGCGUGGCAGUGGAAUGAUGCUUCCUGACCUCUCAGACCUUUGAGACCUCUGGGCGGUCUUAGACUUCACCUGGAGCCUCCUGUCCAGCAUGCGACCAUCUAGGGGAGUUCCAGGGAAAGGUGGCAGAGAUAUCAUGGACUGAAAAGUGAUGGGUACCCCAAUGAGCUCACUACAAGAUCUCAAAGAUUCCAAACCACUGGCUGCUCCAAAGCAUAAAGCCACCCUUCUGGAGAGUCGGCAGGAAGGAAGCCUGGCGGAGGUGAG